GGUCCCAUCGUCUAGUGGUUAGGACACCUGGUUUUCAUCCAGGAAACCGGGGUUCGAUUCCCCGUGGGAUCACCA
rnacentral:tRNA from 1 species